GACGAACGCUGGCGGCGUGCUUAACACAUGCAAGUCGAACGGAAAGGCCCUGCUUUUGUGGGGUGCUCGAUUGGCGAACGGGUGAGUAACACGUGAGUAACCUGCCCUUGACUUUGGGAUAACUUCAGGAAACUGGGGCUAAUACCGGAUAGGAGCUCCUGCUGCAUGGUGGGGGUUGGAAAGUUUCGGCGGUUGGGGAUGGACUCGCGGCUUAUCAGCUUGUUGGUGGGGUAGUGGCUUACCAAGGCUUUGACGGGUAGCCGGCCUGAGAGGGUGACCGGCCACAUUGGGACUGAGAGACGGACCAGACUCCUACGGGAGGCAGCAGUGGGGAAUAUUGCACAAUGGGCGGAAGCCUGAUGCAGCAACGCCGCGUGCGGGAUGACGGGCUUCGGGUUGUAAACCGAUUUCGACUGUGACGAAGCGUGAGUGACGGUAAUGGGUAAAGAAGCACCGGCUAACUACGUG
rnacentral:rRNA from 1 species